UUGGAAGUUGGGAUAGAACUAUUUGGAGGGAAUCUGUAAUAAACAAGCACUGUUUUCUGAGAACCCUGGGUAUUGCUCAAAGGUUCAAGAAUAGCAGGAAUCAAAUUUAUCACUAGCAUAACAGGGCAUAAUUAUGUCAAAUGAACUGCUCCCCCCCUCCCCGUACUUGAAGGGUGAAUUUGGCCACAGAGUAAAACAGGACAUUCUGGAACUUGUUGCCUUCACAAACAAUCAACAAUACCCAAUUAACACUACACUACAUUUUAUUUAAAAUGACUAUAGCUCAAUGGAUUUGUGAGUGAAGACCAACUUGGUAGCAUCAUUUCUUGUCUAGAGAACUGUAUCUUCAGGGACCAGGACCUGGGAUCAGGGCCUGCAUUUGAAACAAUUCGAUUUAUUCUCUGCACAGGAAGAAGAACCAAACAGAUUUUCCCAUUUUCAAGGAAACCAUUUACCUAUUGAAUCAGAACAUUAUCUACAGCCACUUCCUUUACUUAGGUAACCCAUACCACUACCAGGUGGCUCUCCAUCCCCCUUGCUCAUGACUUGACCACAGCCUCCUACACCUGUUGACUUAACCAAACUGAUAGUUUGCAGAAUCUAAAACCAGAACCUGUGAAUUUAAGAGCAUGAGUUUGUACUCCUUGAGCCAAGGAGCAGCUCCAUUAGCGUAAAGGCCAUAUUAGACCAAAACUUUUAUGGAGACCUACUUAUACAGUAAUCAAGCCACUAAAGGGUGGAACCAAACCAAAAUAUUGUAUUUACUUGCAUAUCACACAUCAAAAAAUGAGGCCUCCAAAACUGGGGUAUGUGUGUUUAAGCAGGGAAGCUGAUUUCUGUGCCAGAAUUGAAACACAGGGAUGCUGUAAUGGUUGCUGGUGCUGUCUUUCCCAGCUAGGGAAGGGGGAAUGAAGCAUACUGUUCAGCAUCAUAGUUAAUUUUAUCCCUUUCAGAGUCACUGCUGAGUUGUUAGCAAUUUUUAGCUGAGCAAGUUUUUUUUCUUUAUUGUGCCUAUUCAAAACAAGGUGCGUUACAAGGAUAUAUAGCACGUUAGCAUUGUCUAAGGCCAGAGGUUUUCUACCACUGGGAUGUGAAGGGUUGGCUGCCAGGUUGUGGCACAAGCCCCCUGCUCGGACCCCCAUCUGUCUCCCCAGGUGAGCAGCUUCUGGAGCAGCUGGAGAAUGGGGCAGCCCUUGGGGGGGAGGCAGCCGGCUCAGUGCACCUCAUCCCACUCCAGUUCUAGUCCAUAGGUUGCGAACCACUGGUCUAGGCUUACUUCAUCCAUUAACCCAGCUCCACUGCUUUUCUGGGCUGAACACCUAAGGAUAAUUCUGCUUAUUUAUAUCAAACACCCAACCAUAAACAAUAUACUUUCUUGGUUUUCUUCUUAAUAACCUCACUCCGUUUUAUACUGCCUUUUGCUUAGAACACCAUUUUCACAAGGUCAAGCUUAAAGGGAGCCAUUUUCAAGAAAUAUAUUAGCCAAAAUUUUCAGAGGGUCUAAAUCUAAAGUCCUCCUCUCCCCCUCUGCUGUCUUGUGUUCGAUGCUGUUUUCAUUACUAAGAGUCACACUACAUUCCCUAAACAGGCUUACCAUUUUAGGGAAUUAUCCUUUCAGGAUUGUUAUUGAAAUAUUCUUGGCAGGUGGGUCUUCAUGUUUGCCCCAAAAGGGAGGAGACAGGAGUGUUAAAUUACAAAACACCUGUCUUUAGCAAACAGAAAAUGGCAUAAGCAACUAUUUUGAUAACAUAAUUUUCAGUAACAUUUUACUUUUAGGCUAGAAAGUCUUCUUGCCCCUUGUUCACCUCUCUUUACAUUCAUUUCAUCCAGACAUUACCUUCAUAAAUCAUGUUGCCAAUUCUUACAACUGUCCCUUAUGGUAAGAUUCUUGGGAAUAACUUCACUAAAUUAUUUCCUAAAAGGAGUGUGGAUAUGAUGGAAGAAAUCUGUUGAGUAAGUUUGUUACCUUGUGCUGUCUUUUGCUACAGAAGUGAGCGACAAUGGCAAAGAGUUCUUGCACAAAUAUACGUCUCUGUAAUCCAGCAGUGCUGGAGAUGAAGCAAUGUUAUUUUGUGAAAGUAAAAUUUUAUUUCAGUUUUGUUUUUACUUUUUAUUACUGGAGGCGUUGUAGUAUUAUUAAGGCACAGACCUAGCAGUCAGGAACCCUGGGUUUUGCUCACAGAUUUUUAACAAUCUUCCUGUGUGACUCCAUGGGCAAGUUAUUUCAGUUGUAAACCUUCCUUCCCAUCUACAAAAUAGUGGUGCUACCAUUUACUCAAUUCAUACACUUACAUGGGAGACUUAAAUAAAAUGAUCGUAAAGUACUUGUUUAUUAUUAAGUUGCAAAGUUAUUUCUUACCUUAAAUCUUAGUUUUACCUAGUUACUAUUCAUUAAAACAAUGGGUGAGAGCUUUGUUAUGUAUUUUUUAGAACUGAGUUUGGCUUAAGUUUCUGUUUUUAUCUUCAGCUUGAUUACCUUUUCCCCCUCCUUGAAAUAUUUGUAAAGCAAGAGAAAACAGAGUGAGAUGUUCUAAGGAUUGAUGGAUUCUACUACUUUAGUUUUGCUAGCAGUAGAAUGUAUAUCCCUUCAAAUGAGACUGAUGCAACUGAAAUCAGAUCAAAAUUACAGGUAAGAAUUGAUGCCCAAUCUUUUAAAGCUCUUCCAACUUUUUAAAUGAUAUUUACAACAACCUCAAAUCCUAACACUUUGUUACAAGGAGUUGCUGGUUAAAUAAGCCUAACAUUGGACUGGUCCACUUGCCAAGAACAGCAUUAGCAUUUUAAUGCAUCUUAUUUCCUGAGCUAGGACAGAUCAAGCCCACUACAAAUAUGGUACACGCAGUUGCCAGAGGAAAGGUUAAUUUAAUCUCUCUACUAUGACUUCUGCUAGUUGAAAGGGAAUUAAUUUCAGCCCACCUCUCUAGUAGACAAUAGAAGGAACUAAAGGCAUUAAACACAGACAGAUAAAUAGCUUAGAUACAGAGAAAAAGCAGGAUUUUCAUGGAGGUACACAUUAAGACACAGUUCCACAACUGGUUCAAUCCUGUAUUACACAAGCACAGCCAGCUGCAUAAUUACGGAAGAACUUCAGUCUUUUGAGAUGAGGAGAAGAAGAAUUAAAACUAUAAGGGACAGAAUCACACAACUGUGUGACAUUCGGAAGACAUGUCCUGGUGCCACAGAAGGGUGGUAGAAAAAAAGGGAAUUAAACUAUUCACAUGGCUAGAUAAAAUUCACUGUCUGUGAUCACAAUAGAAAAAAAAAUCUAAAGUGCAGUAUAACCCAUAAUCUCAAAAAUUGCUUGGACUAUAUAAUCUAUGCCAUACAACAUCAAGUAGCUAGAGAAACAUAUACAGUAGGUUAACAUUUUAGACAAUAAUCUGGAUAGUUUCAAGACUAGUCACCAUAUCAAAACUUUAAAAAAAUUAAGCUUUUGAAUAUACCCUUUUCCCUUAGCAUUUCUCAUAGACUUAACAUUUUACAUUGCAGAAUUUGACAUAUUACAAAGUACAGAUUUUGAUUGCUUCCAUUUUGCAGACUUAGUAAUUCAGAAGGAAAAAUCACAGCCUACUAUUGUAUAUUUCAGCAUUUCCUUAUGCCAGCUAUAAUUAGUGGCAAAGACAGGAUGACAAAACAUUGAAUUAUUGUACACUUUUACAGCAAAUUAACUGCAUCUCAUUCUCCCUCUCCCCCCCACCUUUUUUUAAACACUGGACAAUCAAUGCACAAAGGAACUUAUUUACAUGGAACACCAUCACAUUCAUCUUUGUUGAUCAUCUCAUGUAAACACCCAAAAUGUAUGGCUGAUGAAGAAUGGUGUAUACUUAGAAGGUAACGGAUGAUGAUCAGUCACUAUGCAGAGUGUAGUAAAAGGAGAAUAACUAACAAAAUAAGUUAUAAUGGUAGGUUUUCACUUUCUACAACAGAAUAAAGAUGUAACAAACAUUUUUGUGUACUUGCAGAGUUAGAAAAAGGACCUGGUUUAGAAGAAUUUUUUUUUAGAAAGUACAAAGGUGAGGCUUGUUAAAGAGUUGAGUAACUUGAGUCUGGUUGCCUUAUUUUACCAUUUUUUUUCCUACACAGCUAACAGCACCAUCACACCACUUUAAGCUGUAGAAGAGCAAAACAAUUCUAAUUGUUGUAUGCAUCAGUAGUAAUGGCAAGCUAAAUAUUAUUUGUUUUUUCUGCCUUCAUACUACAGCUUGAUGUUCAGAUUCUACCUGGAGUACGUAGUACUGACAGUUAACAACAAAUCAUGCAAUUUCACAAAUGGAGAAUAUUUGAUUUAAAUAUUUUCAAUUAAUAGAAACAAGGUUCCUAAAGUGUGUGCGGGAGGGGGCUGGGGGUUGGGUUUUUUUGUUUUGUUUGUUUGUUUGUUUACAAUCACUUGUUCCAUUUCAACCACAUAUUAAACUGGCUCUUAAAGAUGCUAAGGAUUGCUUUCCUUACUAAUGAUAUUAUAGCAAUGACUGCUUAUUUAUACAAAUGGAAAGACCUGCUGCUGCCAGACCUACGUCUAUCCAUAAUAAGUUUAAUGGUAACAAGGGUUUGAUUUAGUGAAUUAUUGGUGCUUCCUUACCAUUUUAUGCUUGCAAAAAUACUGAAAUGUGUUAACAUUUCACACGCAUAUCAUAUUAAGGACAUUGCACUAAUUCACUACCAUUAUACUUAUAAACUCCAAAGAUUAGGUUUCCCUGUAAUUCAUUAACUCAAGACACUCUGCACAUAGUGCCACCUAAAAUAUAUUGUAAGAAAAUAAAACUGAGAAAUAUGUAUGCCAAUUCUUGCAAUGGAAAAUACAUAAUGUUGACACCCAGUCUACCCCCAACCUAAAAACAUUUAUGAAACUCAAAAUUCAAUGUUUAAAGAGAUAUUUAAAUCUGAGAAGAAAACCGAAAUGAAGAAAUGUACUGUUUAGUAAGAUAAAGUAUAAUACAUUUUAACUAGGUCAGUAGUUAUUCAUUUGAAAUAGCCUAUAAUUAACAUUGGAUUUUUAAAAGCUUAACAGCAACACCAAGGAAUGAGGUAUGUAAGUUUUUAGAUAUCACAUCAGACUUUCAUUUUAUGCAACUAACUGUAUUUCACAACUAGCAUCUUACAAAAUAGACAGUACCAUUGUGCCUGUAGAAGUACUGCAUUAAAAACAGAAAAAUACAUUACUACAAGAAACCACCAAACAUCACAAUUGUCAGGGGCUACAAAAAUCCAUUACUUUUGCUGUUAUGAGAUGUUUUAAAUGUAGGUAAUAUUUUAGGGCUGGAUUUACUACCAAAAAUUCUAUCCAACUUUCAUACUGGCCCAAAAUAUUUUGAACAAGAGAAAGAUAGGAGAGAAUCAAGAAAGUGGGCUUCCUUACUACAGAAACCAAAUGGAUUUUUGUAUUGAAUCUGAACUUAUUUUUUAAAUCUAUAUAUGGACCUUUGUGCAUCAAAAACAUUUAUUGGUUGUAAACAAAAAUGCAAAAUCUGUAUUCAUAAAAAUAUUUUAUUGGUAAUUUUACAUAAUACCAGAUGGGAUUGUAAAUAUUUUUGCUCUAUAUUGGUAUAUUGCUAAAUGCAUAAAUUUUGACAGUUUAUGCCAGAAAAUAGGGUUAUUUUUUUCUUAUGAUCGAUGCAAUAAUAUUAAAUAUAGGGCCAAAUCAAGAUCUAGUAAAUUAAACAUAAAGCAAUGGCAUUAUUUGUUAUUUUCUUACUCAAGUGCACUAU